CUCCAUACUUCACGACUGGCCUGGGUAACAUAUUGGAACUUCCCAGCAUAGAAGAUGGGGUUCUUGUUUAUUGGCCACACUGUCACCAUUUAACUGUUAUCAGAUUCUGACUUGGCACAAAUGGCAUUC
ensembl:snoRNA